AUGGCAAAAAAGGACAGGACUUUUACAAAGUUGCUCACGUUCCUCUCUUUUCUAUUUUCAAUGGGACUCCCUGGCAAUAUGUAGAAUUAGAAUAAGGAGCUGAUAGAAUCCCAGAACCUGUUAAUUUCCUAUUUUUCGUUACUCAUAAUUGAGUUUUCUUCUUCAAUGUGGUUUUUUAAAACAUAAAUACAAUAUUUGACCGUAAUAUUGUAAAUUUGAAACCCGGGCUACCAAAGAUGUAAAAAUAGAUAAAAUUGUGCUUGAGAGACCAAAUGAACCAAUUUAUUUUUUAAAUUCCGCUUAUAUGAUUUGUUCUUCGACUAGCUUAGAGCGACUUAUCGUAGGACUAUCAAUGUACUGAAAAGGAUUAUAGUUAUCCCUUAUCUGUAAUUCAAGGGAUGCAUAUAUAGAUAAAUUACUGUACCUCAAACUCUACUCUGUUUUUAUGGUAGUUGACAUUUAUUUGGGUGAAAAAUGCAGAUAAUUUAAACAAUUUAUUUGUAAUCCUUCUAUAUGAACUACACAAACGAAAUGUAUUUUCCUGAGAUGUUUAAGCUUGUCACGCAUCCCUGAACUUAUUAUACUCGGAUCUCACACAAGUUUAAGAUGAUAAUAACAGAACUACAGAGCAACCAACUCCAACUUUGAGAGCAACUCCAAUGCAAUGCUAUACUUGGUUCUAUUGCUAUAUUAUAGCAUCAAAAGUAAAAAAACUCAACUCCAAAGGGGUGCUAUAUUUGGAUGCAUCCAUGCAUAGAUGCAUCCUUGGUUCUAUAUUUGAAACCACGGAUGGAUCCAUCAAUGUUGCCACAUCAUCAAGAGCUAGAAAUUGGAAACUAGUUAAUGAGUUAAUGAGUUAGGUAAAAGUUAAUGAGUUUGUUCUAUAUACAAGUUAGGUAAAAAUUAAUGAGUUGGUUAAAUUUGAAACUAGUUAUAGAACUUGGCAUUGGAGUGCAAGUUUUAUUUUAGCACCAAAAAACACUUUUUGGUGCUAUAUUAUAGCAAUAGCAAUAGAUAUAUAGCAUCUAGCAUUGGACUUGCUCUGACAAUUUAGAAUUCAGAGUAUAGUUGAAACGAAAACUUAAAGUACAACCAGCAACUAAACUACCUUGCAUAUGAGGAUUGCAGGUACAAAACUCCCGAAACGAAACUCCUGAAUUCAUCCCGAACGUUACUCGCUAUGUGUCUAACAAGAUAAGCCCAUCAAUCAAUAAGUUUCAAAGCAUCCAACUAUUGCGAGGAUAGAAAAUUACCGAACCUAUUAAUUCUAAGCGGUUCAGAACCUUUGAUUGAAGCACUGGUCUCUGUGAAUUUUAAAAAAAAAAUCAGCCCCACCACUGGAACCGGAAUAUGUUUGUACUCUUUCUUCAUGUAGUCAUACAAGAAGAGUUCAUCAGGACACAAAAUCUCUUUCACUCGAGAAAAAAGUCCACCACCCAAAUUAGAAUAUACCCAGAUUAUUUCACCUAGAGCAAUAUUUAACUUCUUACUCCAAGAAAUGUUUCCAUCAAUAUGAUUUAUCGUCCAUAGACAUAUUUCUGAUCUUUCCCCAAUGGAUUCGAAGAUGACCCCUGCAGAAUCUUCAAAAUACAAAAUCUAGGAACUUCCUUGUACUGCUUGGUUGUUGGGUACAUCACCAGUAAUAAUGUUUUCGGGUAGAAGCUGGACAUCCAGGUAAAAGAGCGAGUAUUUUUUUCAGGAUUAUGUGAAAAGUACGAAGUAUAAGAGCAAGCAUCUCCUUGUACAUAUUUAUUAGCUAUAAUAUGAUAUACAGAUAAUCAUCUAAAAUUAUAACUAAGCAUCUCGAAGGGUAGUAUAUGCAUAUUUAUUAGUUAUAAUAUGAUAUAUGGAUAAUCAUCUAAAAUUAUAGCUAAGAGGUCCU
rnacentral:lncRNA from 1 species